GUGGGGAAUAUUGGACAAUGGGCGCAAGCCUGAUCCAGCAAUGCCGCGUGAGUGAUGAAGGCCUUAGGGUUGUAAAGCUCUUUUACCCGGGAUGAUAAUGACAGUACCGGGAGAAUAAGCCCCGGCUAACUCCGUGCCAGCAGCCGCGGUAAUACGGAGGGGGCUAGCGUUGUUCGGAAUUACUGGGCGUAAAGCGCACGUAGGCGGCUUUGUAAGUUAGAGGUGAAAGCCCGGGGCUCAACUCCGGAAUUGCCUUUAAGACUGCAUCGCUAGAAUUGUGGAGAGGUAAGUGGAAUUCCGAGUGUAGAGGUGAAAUUCGUAGAUAUUCGGAAGAACACCAGUGGCGAAGGCGACUUACUGGACACAUAUUGACGCUGAGGUGCGAAAGCGUGGGGAGCAAACAGG
rnacentral:rRNA from 1 species